CAUUUAACCUUUAUUUAUUUAUUAUAUAACUUUUUAUUUAUUUUUUUGAGUUUCUUUUGAGGUAUUGGUUUGUCGUGUAAUUUUGCAGAUGCAAGCGAGGUUGUCUUGUCGACACUUGACGAUGAUUAAGGAGAAUCUCUACACUCGCAUACUUUGAGUGCAAAGCACAAAGCUUUGUUUGCUUGCACUAUAUGGGCAAUAUGGAAGAAAGGAAUGAUGUUAUCUGGAGAAAUGAAACUGCCACAAGAGCUGUGGUGUGCGACUGUAGUAUAUCGUUGUUAACCGGGUGGAGAAAUGAACAAAAUGCGCGUAUCAAUAGCAAUAACCAACACACGAGUCAGCAUAAUGCAGCUUGGACAAGACCUCCUAUACGACGAUAUAAAGGCAAAGUUGACGCCUCUUUUUCGAGAUCGCGCAGUAAAGUGGGUAUUGGUGUGUGUAUAGAGGAUGAUAGGCCAAUUUGUGCUAGCAAAAACCGAGUAGAUUUCUCCUAUUCUUGAUAUCGAUAUUGGAGAAUCAUUAGGACUCUUUCAUGCUAUGAAGUAGGUAAGAGAUUUAGAACUUAAUAAUGUGGUAUUCGAGUUAGAUUCCAAACAUCCGGUGGUAGACAUUGUUAAUAGAAACAAUUUAGAUGCGUCUAAUUUUGACGCUAUUAUUAGAGAUUGUAGACAUACUUUCUCUUCUCAUUUUAGAAACUCUCAUGUUGAGUUCAUUAAAAGACAAAACAAUGAGGUUGUUCAUAAUGUUGCAAGAGUGACCACAUUUUUAUAAAUAUAUAACUUUAUUAUUAGUUAUUAUUUUGAUGAAUUACCUGUAAAAUUUAGCAAUAUAUUUAUUAUUUUAUUAUUUAUA